GGCUCUUUGUCCUAUAAAAAUAAAGGGUCGAGCCUGCCCGGUGACAUAAGAUGUUAAACGGCCGCAGUAUACUGACUGUGCGAAGGUAGCAUAAUAAUUUGCCUAUUAAUUGUGGGAUGGAAUGAAUGGUUUGACGAGGGCUGAACUGUCUCUUUGUGAUAUAUUUAAAAAUUAUUUUUUAGGUGAAGAUUCCUAAAUAUAACUAAGGGACGAUAAGACCCUGUCGAGCUUUAGUGUAAUUUUGGGUUCAAUUGUUCAAAAUUGAAAACAAUUUUAUUUCUAAAAUAAAUCUUUGACUGGGGCGGUCGAGAAGGAUGAAAAACCUUUUGUUUAAAUUACUGACUUUUAGGUAUAAGAUCUAGCUUAAUGUGAGACGUAAGAAAAAGUUACCGCAGGGAUAACAGCGUAAUUCUUUUGGAGAGUUCUUAUUGAGAAAGGAGUUUGCGACCUCGAUGUUGGACUAAGAUAUCCUAAAGGUGUAGAAGCUUUUGAGGGUUAGUCUGUU
rnacentral:rRNA from 1 species